CUCGCGACAGGUUUACUCCCCUCAAGCGCAAGGACAGCAUGAGGGGAGCAUCGCCUCAGCGUUUGGUUUAUUAUAGUGAAAGUUCUUUAAAAAAAACUUUAUACAGUCAAAAUUCAUGUAUAUUUAUAAACGCACAGGAAUGUUAAUUAGCGAACAUUGGACAUUUGACUGACUGACGGACCUAUUCCUUGUUAAAGGUGUCACAAACUCAUGGGCGGCGUAACUAGUACAUCUGAGGGUUACUUGAUGGUUUUGUCAAAGCAACAGGCCUUCAUGAGAUCCUUCAGUGAUCUUGAAGAACACCACCAUAGACCACUGUGCAAGCCAACAAAUAAAAUGCUUUUAUCCAACUUACAGUUGAGGAAUACAACAAGCGAUUUAUCAUAAGAUGGAAAUAGAUGUAAGGAUCCACCCGCCGGACCAAAAGACUCCCACAGGGUAUAUGUAUCUGGAGCUCUGCACUAGAAUUCACAUGCUGCUGUGUCUCUCUCUUCGGUCAGGUAUGCAUUUCGUUUUAUUAUUCGAAUGUGUAAUUGUGUUAAACACAUUGUGCUCAUAUAACACACUUUAUAGUUGUUUUUGUGCUAUUACAUGUGCACAUAGACUAGCUACUGUACAUGUGUUGAAUUUGUUGAAUUUGUUAGCCCCCUACGUGGAACACUGCUAUUUUCCAUAUAGUUACAGUAAUCCGUUAACUGUAAUAUUUACUUUUUAAUUACUGUUUACUUUAUUUUCACAAAUCUGUGUCCAGGACGGAUCAUACCGAUGUACCAAUGAAUGUAGCAGGGGCUCAUCAUUAGGGACCUUCUGAUUUCUGACUGUCACUGAUUUGACAAGUUGUUAUAAAAAGAAUAUUAUUUUUGUUAUGUGCUAGCAGGGUGCAUCUUUUUAAAGAUAUCGUAACCACCCUGCAUCUUUUGAGUAAGAACAGAACUGGCAAAUUUAUGUCUGUGAAUUCACUAAACGGCCGAGUGAAUUUCUAAGAGAUGCCAGGUUAUUAAUGAACGAAUAAUUAAAAAUAUGGAAUGUCUAGAAUAAUGAAAUACCUAAAUUAAUACAUAACUGAUAUUUGUGAUCAGCUUUUGAUUAGAGAAACCACCUAAAUUUGAUGAUCACUUGAAAUUGAAGUCAGAUUGAACACGGAGCUAGAUUAAAAUUUAAACUAAGUCUCGAUAAAUCAAGUGAACUUUGCAGAAGCACAGGUAAAAGAUCAAACAUGCAUUAAACCUUCAACCAGGUCGACUAGACUCCGCUUUUUUGCUGGCGGGUGUGACAACUGUUGGUGCUAUUAUUUGGAAAUGGCAGAAAUACAAAAUAACCAUCAAUCAGCCUUGGUCUGGCACUCCAUGCAAGAUCUUGAGAUGAUCAUGAGAAAGGUGAGGGAUCAGCCACGAAAUACACAGGAGGAGCUUGUUAAUGAUCUAUAGGCAGUUGGAUCCACAGUCACCAAGCAAAACAUUGGUAACACACUACGCCGCAAUGGACUGAAAUCCUGCAGUGCCCAAAAGGUCCCCCUGCUCAUGAAGGGACAUGUACAGGCCCGUUUAAAGUUUGCCAAAGAACAUCUAAAUGAUUUAGAGAAGGCUUGGGAGAAAGUGCUGUUGUCAGAUAAGACCAAAAUAGAGCUCUUAGGCAUUAACUUGACUCACUGUGUUUGGAGGGAGAGAAAUUAUGACUAUGACCCUGAGAACACCAUCCCUACAGUCAAGCACAGAGGUGGAAACAUUAUGCUUUGGGGCUGUUUUUCUGCUAAGGGUAAAGGGCAACUUCACUGCAUUGAGGGGCAAAUGGAUGGGGCCAUGUACUAUUAAAUCUUGGACAAGAACCUCCUUCCCUCAGCCAGAACACUGAAGAUGGGUCAUGGAUGGGUCUUCCAGCAUGACAAUGACCCGAAACAUGCCAAGGCAACAAAGGAGUGGCUCAAGAAAAACCACAUUAACGUCACUGAGUGGCCUAGCCAGUCUCCAGACCUCAAUCCUAUAGAAAAUCUUUGGAGGAAGCUGAAACUUCAAGUUGAAGUUCUUUAUUGAACUUCAAGAAACCAUAUGGAUAUAGAGAGGAUCUGUAAAGAGGAGGGGAUCAAAAUCCCUCCUGAGAUGUGUGCAACUGGUGACCAGCUACAAAGAAAGCCUUACCUCUGUGCUUGCCAACAAGGAU